rnacentral:rRNA from 1 species
UACGGGGGGAGCGAGCGUUAUUCGGAUUCACUGGGCGUAAAGGGUUCGUAGGCGGUCAAGUAAGUCAGGGGUGAAAUCUAACGGCUUAACCGUUAAACUGCCCUUGAAACCGCUUGACUUGAGGACAUGAGAGGAAAGCGGAAUUCUUGGUGUAGCGGUGAAAUGCGUGGAUAUCAAGAGGAACACCAGUGGCGAAGGCGGCUUUCUGGCAUGUUACUGACGCUGAGGAACGAAAGUCAGGGGAGCGAACGGG